UCAAAAAUAUUUCUUCUUGCCACUUCGCCGACCGUUUUCUUUCUAGACCACGAUCACCAAUGAUCAACAAUCUAAAAAUAACUACCCAAUUCUGUUACUUAUAUUUGUACGAGGCUUUUCUUUAUAAUUGCAUCUUGAUACAAUAACACAUCUUCUCUAUUUCUCUAAUCCUCAAACCUGAUUUUGCAAUGCAAGACUUCUUCCCUGAGAGACAUUGUCAUUCACUUAUUCAUCAUAUUUUUAUUUGUGUUUGCUUAAUAUUUUUGGAUCUCACUCUGUUCUCUACUUCUAUCAUCGCUUUGAUUUAUCAAACCUCACUCACUCACGUGUAUGAUUUUCUUCAAAAACUCAAGCUUAUUAAUAUGCAGAAACACAAGGUUAUCUUCUUUUUCAAAACGAAGAUGUGAGAAAACGAAGAUGUUUCAAAAGAUGUAAAGAGAUCAAGAGAAUCUAACACUACCCAAAAAGACUAUCAACAAAAUUGAAGUUACAGGUGGACCCAUUAUCUUUUCCUGAAAAGAAAAAGACAGGUCAGAGUCAGACUUUUGUCCUUUUACGAGAGCACCUCGGUACGUUCCAGAACCCUCUCCCGUCUCCUCCUCCAUCAUCUAACUUUAUUUAAUACACAAAUUACCAAACUAUUUUAUUAACCCAAAUUAUUGUUCAAUAUUCACCUAAUCACCAUCAUAAAUAAAAUAACACAGAAUGGCACUAGAGACUAGAUGACAAGAAAACAAAAAUUAGAAGAGAUACUGUCCAAAAGAACCUAAAAUGUUUUUGACAAAAACACAUAUAAAAAAGAAAAUGAUUAAAAAAGUUUCAUAAUUUACUUUUUCUGAAAAAGAUAUUCAAUGUUUUAAUUUUUUCUUGAUUUUUUGGUUGAUUGUAAUUCAAAAAUUCUUUUAAAAUUAUUAUUCUAAAUCUAAAAUUUUAAAUCAUAUUUCCCCUCUGAAAACUAAUAUCUAAAAUCUAAACUUGAAAUUAAAAUAAAAAAACUUGAAAUUAAAAUUAGUUAACUUUAAAAACUAUUAAAAUUCCUUUACUUUUUAAAAAUUUCUAUUUGGAUCAUUUUGAUCCUUUUAAACUAUUUUUAUGAUAAAUUUUGUUUUCGGCAAUGUCACAAACACAUGAACGCAAGAAAUAAAUAGAGUAAUUCUUGGGUUCACUCCCUAGGGUGAACCUCUAGGUUCACCCACCAAUAAUAGUUCACCAUUUUAUAUUUAAUGUUUUUUAGAAAAGGAAAUAAAAUAUUGUCAAGUUAUAUUACGUUUUUUAAAAAAUUAAAAAAUAAAAGCUCAAGAAUUAAAAUAAAAAUAAUAGUAGUUGAAAAAAAUUAUUUUUUAAAAAAGCUUUUUAUACCAUCAGCAAAAUGCUAAACCCUAAACCCUAAAUCCUAAACCCUAAACCAUUGGGUAAACCCUAAACCCUUGGACAAAUUCUAAAUUCUUGAAUUUUUUAAAGUAAUUUUAGUACCGUCAGCAAAACACUAAACCCUAAACCCUAAAUACUAUACCCUAAACCCAUGGAUAAAUCUUAAACCCUU